rnacentral:rRNA from 1 species
CCUACGGGAGGCAGCAGUGAGGAAUAUUGGUCAAUGGGCGGAAGCCUGAACCAGCCAAGUAGCGUGCGGGAUGAAGGCCCUACGGGUCGUAAACCGCUUUUGUACGGGGAUAACACCCUUCACUUGUGGCGGUCUGCAGGUACCGUGCGAAUAAGGGCCGGCUAAUUCCGUGCCAGCAGCCGCGGUAAUACGGAAGGCCCGAGCGUUAUCCGGUUUUAUUGGGUUUAAGGGGAGCGUAGGCGGGCGUUCAAGUCAGCUGUAAAAUUGCGGGGCUCAACCGCGCCCCGCAGUUGAAACUGGACGCCUUGAGUUCACAACAGGCAGGCGGAAUUCGUGGUGUAGCGGUGAAAUGCAUAGAUAUCACGAAGAACCCCGAUUGCGAAGGCAGCCUGCCGGGGUGCGACUGACGCUGAGGCUCGAAGGUGCGGGUAUCGAACAGGAUUAGAUACCCUUGUAGUC